rnacentral:rRNA from 1 species
AGUGGCGGACGGGUGAGUAAUGCGUAGGAACCUAUCCUUUUGUGGGGGACAACCCAGGGAAACUUGGGCUAAUACCGCAUAAGCCCUGAGGGGGAAAGCGGGGGAUCUUCGGACCUCGUGCUGAAGGAGGGGCCUACGUCCGAUUAGCUAGUUGGUGGGGUAAAGGCCUACCAAGGCGACGAUCGGUAGCUGGUCUGAGAGGACGACCAGCCACACUGGGACUGAGACACGGCCCAGACUCCUACGGGAGGCAGCAGUGGGGAAUUUUUCGCAAUGGGGGCAACCCUGACGAAGCAAUGCCGCGUGGAUGAAGAAGGCCUUCGGGUUGUAAAGUCCUUUCGUGGGGGACGAAAAGGCGGAUCCGAAUACGGUCUGCUAUUGACGUGAACCCAAGAAGAAGCACCGGCUAACUCCGUGCCAGCAGCCGCGGUAAUACGGAGGGUGCGAGCGUUAAUCGGAAUUACUGGGCGUAAAGGGCGCGUAGGCGGUGGGUUACGUCUGCCGUGAAAUCCCCGGGCUCAACCUGGGAAUGGCGGUGGAAACGGGCUGACUGGAGUAUGGGAGAGGGUGAUGGAAUUCCAGGUGUA